CGCGUCCGAAAUCGCAUACUUCCAUACUAUAUAGUAGGCGAAAAACAGUAUGCGAAGCAAGUAGUAUGUCCGAAUUCUCAGUAUUCGAAAAACAGUAGGCGAGAUGUACCCGGAUGGCCUACUACUUCCGGCCGAAUUCCGUAGUAUGCAUAGGAUGGACACUUCUCUAUCCCAUGAGGCACCGGGAGAGGGCUCGUCAUACUCAUAUUCGAAAAUAACGGAAAAUCGGAGGAUCGUGACGCCGCUGUUUUGAAGUAGACUGAUGAACACACUCUUGUUCUCAUCCACUGAUGAAACCCUAUUCACUGGAAACCAUAAUUCAGUAAUCUGCUCUUGAAGAGCUGCACACGGUCGUCUGCUGUGACACAGCUGUGGACAGAUUGUCCCGCACAUGCUCUCCUGUGCUGACUUCUGUGUUUUGGGGUUCCAGUGUAUCAUCGUCAUGAUCCUCCACAACUUCUGGAUCAGCAAUGUCCGCAUUCAGAAGAUGGAGGUUGUGGAGCACUGCACAGCAUGCAACAACAUCUGCACAAAAGCAGAACUCACUUCCAGGGCCUUGAAGAAGAAGAAGAUGGAGCACAGCUGGUCUUCAUCAUCCUGAAGGCUCUCUCAACAAUGUUCUGUGCACGAGCAUCAUUGGUGUUGAAUCAAAGCUGUGCAGGAUUGUGUUCAGACUCUCUGUCUGCUGUGAUGAGGCAGAUGUGUGCACUCAAACAAGGAUACCCACCAUCUCCCAGGAUGUGUUUUCCUGCAGGUGGAUAGGCCUCCAGAGUUCUUCAGCACCCUGGCAUCAUACACAGACCCGGGAUACUCAACAAAGAUAUCAAGGUACUUCCCAUGGUGGUCACCUGCAGCUGAACAGAAUGAAACCACUUCCUGUUGAAAUAACAUUGGGCUUCACUUGCUGGAGGUUCAGUUUGUAUGUGACAGCCAUCUAUUGUUCCAGCUACCAGAAGAAAAGCUGCUUCCACUGCCUGUCAUCUGUGGUGGAGAAGGCAAUCAGCCUCCUCAAAAUCCCCAUGACAGACCUGCUCAUUCUGUGCACAAUGUUAUGCAGCUCUUGGAUGUCAAAGGCCAGGGACAGCAGUCUGUAUGAUGCUGUUCACAGUCUGUAAAUGUCUAGUUUUUGUUUUUUAGAAUAAAAUUUCAAUAGGUUACACAUUUUUUUGCUGAUAUAUCUAUAUCUAACUAUAUAUAUUUAUAUAUGUGUUUAUAUUGUCUAUAAUGUAUAUAUUAUGUAUGUAUUUAUGUAUAUAUUGUGAUGUGUGUGUGUUUCUGUGUAUAUUUCUAUAAUGUAUUUGUGUGUAUUUAUGUGUGUGUGUGUGUGUGUGUGUGUGUAUUUGUCUAAGCAUUCAUUCAAGUUUAUUAAUUUAUGUUCGUUUUGUGUAAUUUUAUUUGUAUUUAUUUAUUACAAUAAAUUACUUUAUAUCCUUACAUAAAAUCAGUCUGUCAUUCUGUUCACAGCUGUAGCUGCUGUUAUUCUGAGGUAGAAAAUUAAAAGCUAAAUUUAUUUUAGUAAAGGAUUUACAAGCUGUCAACGAAGGCAUGAUCUGCGAACAGCUGACCGACGCCUGCUUUGAAUUGUUAAUUCAAACGACAUAAAAACCCAGAUGAAAGUGGUAAG